CCUACGGGAGGCAGCAGUAAGGAAUAUUGGUCAAUGGACGAAAGUCUGAACCAGCCAUGCCGCGUGAAGGAUGAAGGUCCUCUGGAUUGUAAACUUCUUUUAUCUGGGACGAAAAAAGGGCUUUCUAGCUCACUUGACGGUACCAGAGGAAUAAGCACCGGCUAACUCCGUGCCAGCAGCCGCGGUAAUACGGAGGGUGCAAGCGUUAUCCGGAUUUACUGGGUUUAAAGGGAGCGUAGGUGGGCAGGUAAGUCAGUGGUGAAAUCUCUGGGCUUAACCCGGAAACUGCCAUUGAUACUAUCUGUCUUGAAUAUCCUGGAGGUAAGCGGAAUAUGUCAUGUAGCGGUGAAAUGCUUAGAUAUGACAUAGAACACCCAUUGCGAAGGCAGCUUACUACGGGAUUAUUGACACUGAGGCUCGAAAGCGUGGGGAUCAAACAGGAUUAGAUACCCUGGUAGUCCACGACCUAACCGANAGAUACUACGACAUCAGCGAUACACUGUUGGUGUNUGNGCGAAGAGAUAAGUAUCCACCGUACGGGAAGGUAACGGUACCGCCGAAGGUUAGUAAACGUUACAAAUAAGAAGUUAGUUACGGCGUUGGAGACGUUCGCCGACGGACGACCGACGAGGGGAGGUUAGG
rnacentral:rRNA from 1 species